rnacentral:rRNA from 1 species
AAGGGCACCACAAGAACGCGUGGAGCAUGUGGCUUAAUUUGACAACGCGGGAAAACUUACCGGGUCCGGACACACUGAGGAUUGACAGGCGAUAAAUUAUGCUAGUCCUUUCGUGAUUGUGUGACUCUUUGGAUAGCGAAGCCCGUUCUUAGUUCGUGGAGUGAUCUGUCUGCUUAAUUGCGUUUCAGAUAAAGUGUCGAUCGACCGCUCUUUUGUCUACGGGCACUUUCGCGCAGGUACGCGAUCAAGCAACGAACGUGACCGAAGGAACGAAUUCGCGGCCGACUAAAUACAAUCGCCAUGAGAGAGGAAAAAAAGAU